GUGCCAGCAGCCGCGGUAAUACGGAGGGUGCAAGCGUUGUCCGGAUUUAUUGGGUUUAAAGGGUGCGUAGGUGGUCCUGUAAGUCUGGUUUGAAAGCUGGGUGCUUAACACUCAGAUGUGGCUGGAUACUGUGGGACUUGAAUGAACUGGAGGUCACUGGAACGGGUCAUGUAGCGGUGAAAUGCAUAGAUAUGACCCAGAACCCCGAUUGCGUAGGCAGGUGACUACGGUUUGAUUGACACUGAGGCACGAGAGCAUGGGGAGCGAACAGGAUUAGAUACCCUGGUAGUCC
rnacentral:rRNA from 1 species